rnacentral:rRNA from 1 species
UACGUAGAGUGCAGGCGUUAAUCGGAAUUACUGGGCGUAAAGCGUGCGCAGGCGGUUUGCUAAGACAGGUGUGAAAUCCCCGGGCUUAACCUGGGAACUGCGCUUGUAACUGGCAAGCUAGAGUGUGGCAGAGGGGGGUGGAAUUCCACGUGUAGCAGUGAAAUGCGUGGAGAUGUGGAGGAACACCGAUGGCGAAGGCAGCCCCCUGGGCUAACACUGACGCUCAUGCACGAAAGCGUGGGGAGCAAACAGG